CUCGUAGUCAAAUUGUUAAGAUUGAAUGGUUUAAUGGUUAAGUCGCUCUCACCCAUUAUUUAUAUCACUCUACACAAAGAGCAGAGCAUAGUAAGGGAGAACAAGAGCAGAGAUACAGGAAAUCAAGGAGAAGGAAGAGGAAGAAUGAAGCUUUUCUCUCCAUCAGUUGCAGCAAUGGUGGUGGUGAUUCUGCUGAGCACAAGUCCUUGCAGAGCUAGUGUUCCAAAAGGUACGGAUGGCAAUCACUUCUCCAUAGGGGAUAGCAAC
rnacentral:misc_RNA from 1 species